AUUUUUUAUAACUACAGCAAGCAGUUCAGUAAUUCAGUAAACAGGACACCUGUGUACUCAGCCUAACCAUCGCAGGCAUGAGAUCGGAAGAGAACAC